GUGGGGAAUUUUGGACAAUGGGCGCAAGCCUGAUCCAGCAAUGCCGCGUGUGUGAAGAAGGCCUUCGGGUUGUAAAGCACUUUUGGCAGGAAAGAAAUAGUGCGUGCUAAUACCAUGCGCGAAUGACGGUACCUGCAGAAUAAGCACCGGCUAACUACGUGCCAGCAGCCGCGGUAAGACGUAGGGUGCAAGCGUUAAUCGGAAUUACUGGGCGUAAAGCGUGCGCAGGCGGUUUUGUAAGACAGGUGUGAAAUCCCCGGGCUCAACCUGGGAACGGCACUUGGGACUGCAAGGCUAGAGUGUGUCAGAGGGAGGUGGAAUUCCGCGUGUAGCAGUGAAAUGCGUAGAGAUGCGGAGGAACACCGAUGGCGAAGGCAGCCUCCUGGGAUAACACUGACGCUCAGGCACGAAAGCGUGGGGAGCAAACAGGAUUAGAAACCCCGGUAGUCC
rnacentral:rRNA from 1 species